AGGGCAAGUCUGGUGCCAGCAGCCGCCGGUAAUUCCAGCUCCAAUAGCGUAUAUUAAAGUUGUUGCAGUUAAAAAGCUCGUAGUUGAAUUUCGGGAUUGACGUGAUGGUCAUGCCUUAAGGGGUAUGAACUGUUACAGUUGAUUUCUCACCUUCUGGAAAAACUUGAUGUCCUUUAUUGGGUGUCUUGCAGAUCCAGGACCUUUACCUUGAAAAAAUUAGAGUGUUUAAAGCAGGCAUUUUUGCUCGAAUACAUUAGCAUGGAAUAAUAGAAUAGGACGGCAUGGUUCUAUUUUGUUGGUUUCUAGGAUCACCGUAAUGAUUAAUAGGGAUAGUUGGGGGCAUUAGUAUUCAAUUGUCAGAGGUGAAAUUCUUGGAUUUAUUGAAGACUAACUACUGCGAAAGCAUUUGCCAAGGAUGUUUUCAUUAAUCAAGAACGAAAGUUAGGGGAUCGAAGACGAUCAGAUACCGUCGUAGUCUUAACCAUAAACUAUGCCGACUAGGAAUCAGACGAUGUUAAUUUUUUAAUGACUCGUUCGGCGCCUUACGGGAAACA
rnacentral:rRNA from 1 species